rnacentral:misc_RNA from 1 species
UGUGAAUUGUGAAAGUUUGUGCAGGUUUAUCGUACAUAAUAUGCAGAGGCUCUGUGGUGAAAAGUAGAAGAUUUAGUUUUUCAGAAGGAAUUCUCCGAAUGAUUUGUGAAAAAUGAAAGUUGGCGUUGGAGGUUUGACGAUAGAGAAGAAUUUGAAAGGAUGUUGCAGAAGCGUCGGUGAAUUUAACGUUAUCGUCGCUUAUAGCUUCAUUUACGUACAAACACGCAUAAGUGCUUGUACGUGCGUAUUCGCAGAUGCGACCUCCGUCCCUGUGGAAUUCUAGAGCUGGUCAAUGUAUAGUUACAUACGUACGGAACAUACCACCGAACCGGCAACUAGACACGAGUGUUUACCCCCCUGUGUGAUCCUUACGUUGCCUGCAAUUUAUAGGAAAAAAGUUCUACGAGAUUAUUCUAACUAUAUCACACACGUGUGUUUUCUGGAUACACGUAUAACACUCGACUGAUAUCAACUAAUUCUGCUACAGACAAGCCUUUUGUAACAUGGUUAACUCGUUUCGCGUUAUAUCGAAAUCAGGUUUCCAAGUGUGUGUUAACGGCAAGUACUUAAUACUAAGGAAGACUGCAAGACCCUGGAUAUCUUCACCUUAAGGGAUCUGUGUAUAUAG